UAAAAUAUUCUAAAUUUCAAGAGUAGAGUUGAAAUGCUGUGUAUCAUUGGAUGUUUUUGAAAGUGUGUUCAAUUUUAAGGAUAACCACCCAUAGAAUGGAAAUGAAGCCCUUGAUCCCCAGAUGAUCAAUGAAAAGAGCUGGUGGGAGUAGAAGCAGACACCCAUAACUAAUCACCGAACUGAACUGGAACCCAGAUGCAGAGAAGGACCAGUGAAGACCACAGAGGUCCAGACCAGGCUGGUGAAACCCACAGAAACAGCUGACCUGAUCAUCCGGGAACUCUUGCUCCCCAGUCUGAUAGCUGGAAUACCAGCAUGGGACUGAUCCAGAC
rnacentral:lncRNA from 1 species